GCCCUUGUGGUCUAGUGGUAUGAUUCACCCUUAGGGUUUUCGUCAAUCUUAUUUGGGUGAGGUCCCCGGUUCGAUCCCGGGCAAGGGCC